GUCCAGGGGCGGGAAUCGAACCCCUAGUGGACAUGGCAUCUGCCCGGUAAGCGGAACGUUGUGGGUUCGAUUCCCGCCCCUGGACA
rnacentral:tRNA from 1 species